AAUUUCUGCCCUAUCAACUUUCGAUGGUAAGGUAUUGGCUUACCAUGGUUUCAACGGGUAACGGGGAAUUAGGGUUCGAUUCCGGAGAGGGAGCCUGAGAAACGGCUACCACAUCCAAGGAAGGCAGCAGGCGCGCAAAUUACCCAAUCCCGACACGGGGAGGUAGUGACAAUAAAUACUGAUACAGGGCUCUUUUGGGUCUUGUAAUUGGAAUGAGUACAAUUUAAACCUCUUAACGAGGAACAAUUGGAGGGCAAGUCUGGUGCCAGCAGCCGCGGUAAUUCCAGCUCCAAUAGCGUAUAUUAAAGUUGUUGCAGUUAAAAAGCUCGUAGUUGAAACUUGGGCCUGGCUGGCGGGUCCGCCUCACCGCGUGCACUCGUCCGGCCGGGCCUUCCUUCUGAAGAACCUCAUGCCCUUCACUGGGCGUGCUGGGGAAUCAGGACUUUUACUUUGAAAAAAUUAGAGUGUUCAAAGCAGGCCUUUGCUCGAAUACGUUAGCAUGGAAUAAUAAAAUAGGGCGUGCGUUUCUAUUUUGUUGGUUUCUAGAGACGCCGCAAUGAUUAACAGGAACAGUCGGGGGCAUCAGUAUUCAGUUGUCAGAGGUGAAAUUCUUGGAUUUACUGAAGACUAACUACUGCGAAAGCAUUUGCCAAGGAUGUUUUCAUUAAUCAGUGAACGAAAGUUAGGGGAUCGAAGACGAUCAGAUACCGUCGUAGUCUUAACCGUAAACUAUGCCGACUAGG
rnacentral:rRNA from 1 species